UAGAAUGAUUGCUUAUCACUGCUGUUAUUUAGGGCAUGCAUGUUCGCUUCUGAUGCAAGCACUACCAGGACAAGCACUUUAGCCGACGAAAAAUUUUUGUCGGUCUGUUAGCUUAAUUCGUCGGGAAAAUGUCGUCUGUGAUGACUUUAGCCGACGAAAAAAAAAAAUUUCGUCGGCUAUAGUCCCGCAGUUUAGCCGACGAAAAACAUGUCGUCGAUUUUUUUCCCAGACUUUAGCCGACGAAACAAUUAAGAUAUUCGUCGGCUAAAGUCUGUAAUAAAAAAAUUUUUCCCAGACUAUAGCCGACGAAAUAUAGUAUGUUUCAUCGGCUAAACCUUAUAAAAAAAUUUAAAAAAAUAACUAUAGCCGACGAAAUAUAGUCUGUUUCGUCGGCUAAACCUUAUAAAAAUUUUUAAAAAUAAUUAUAGCCGACGAAAUAUGCCAUAAUUCGUCGGCUAAACCUUAUAAAAAAAUUUAAAAAUACUAUAGCCGACGAAUAAACCUUUAAAUAUCGUCGGCUAAACCUUUAAAUAUCGUCGGCUAAAGUUGCUGGUUUUUGAAAAAAAAAACUGCAGAAACUUUCGGCCACCUCCAAUCACCACCAAAAUUUGACAUACUCUUCUUCUCAACAUUUCGAACAACUUUCUAGAAGAAGUCGAAGCCCAAUUCUAAGCCUAAAUAGGUCAGUUGAAUCAAAAUAUAAAAAUCCCCAAUUUUAAACCCUAAAAACUUCAAAUCUUCGAUUCUCCUCACACACACCGAAUCGAGCUACCAAAUUCUAGGAGAAUGUAGUACUAAUCAAACUCAACUUAUCCAUAUAUAGAACUCACCAAAUGGUGACCUGAGGAAGGAGAAAUUCGAUCGACACCGAAUCCGAACCGGCGGAGUUUUGGAGCUCGAUUUAUCUCUCACGGCGGCGCCACUCGAUGCACCACCUAUCCAGCAAUGAAGUAGAGACGACGGCGAAGCUUUUGGGACAAGUGUGGCGGUCUCCAGUGGCUU
rnacentral:lncRNA from 1 species